ensembl:misc_RNA Metazoa_SRP Metazoan signal recognition particle RNA
GCUAGGCACAGUGGUGUGUACCUAUAAUCUCAGCUACUUGGGAGGCUAAAUGGGAGGAUUGCUUGAGCCCAGGAGUUCUGGGCUGUAGCGCACUAUGCAAAUCAGUUGGCUGCACUAGCUUUGGCAUCAGUAUGGUGACCUCCUAGGAGUGGGGAACCACUGGGUUGCUUAAGGAGGGGUAAACCGGCCAAGGUCGGAAACAGAGCAGGUCAAAACUCCCAUGCUAACCAGUAGUGGGAUCGUGCCUGUGAAAAGGCACUGACUGCACUCCGGGCAACAUGGCAAGACCCUAUCA